CCAGAAGUCACUGUUCACGUCAGAAAAAUCAGCAGCAAUUCACAAACCCUAAUUUUCUACUUUUCCAACCCUUUUUCAGAUCAAAUCACCAAAACUCAUAAAAAGAUCAUGAAUAUGAUGAACACAAAAAUUUUCAGAGUCAUCUUCCACACAUAAACACCAUAAUUUCGAAUACCUUACUCAAGUGAGUUUCAAAAAAAUCAAAAACAUCACAGCUUUAACAUCCAUUUCCGUGGUUUCCAUCACAACAACUUUCCUUUAACUCGAAUUCCUCCAAACAGUAACAACAACAACAAUUUUUGUCGAACCGGAGCAAAAGAAAGCAACAUCGGACCGGAUUCAAGCAAGGAAGCAAAACCAAACCAGACCGGAGC
rnacentral:lncRNA from 1 species